rnacentral:rRNA from 1 species
GUGGCGGGUAACGGCCCACCAAGGCGACGAUGCGUAGGGGUUCUGAGAGGAAGGUCCCCCACACUGGUACUGAGACACGGACCAGACUCCUACGGAAGGCAGCAG